rnacentral:rRNA from 1 species
AUUGAACGCUGGCGGCAGGCCUAACACAUGCAAGUCGAACGGUAGCACAGAGAGCUUGCUCUCGGGUGACGAGUGGCGGACGGGUGAGUAACGUCUGGGAAACUGCCCGGUGGAGGGGGAUAACUACUGGAAACGGUAGCUAAUACCGCAUAACGUCGCAAGACCAAAGUGGGGGACCUUCGGGCCUCACACCAUCGGAUGUGCCCAGAUGGGAUUAGCUAGUAGGUGGGGUAACGGCUCACCUAGGCGACGAUCCCUAGCUGGUCUGAGAGGAUGAACAGCCCAACUGGAACUGAGACACGGUCCAGACUCCUACGGGAGGCAGCAGUGGGGAAUAUUGCACAAGGGGCGAAAGCCUGAUGCAUCCAUGCCGCGUGUAUGAAGAAGGCCUUCGGGUUGUAAAGUACUUUCAGCGAGGAGGAAGGUGUUGAGGUUAAUAACCUCAGCAAUUGACGUUACUCGCAGAAGAAGCACCGGCUAACUCCGUGCCAGCAGCCGCCGUAA